UCCCUGGUAGUAUAUCGGUUAGUACACGCGCCUGUCAUCGUAUGUUCAAACGCGCGAAAGCUGGGUUCGACUCCCAGCCAGGGAG